rnacentral:misc_RNA from 1 species
CUUCCUUAUGAAUUCCCUCUAGUUUUUUCCUCUGUGCUUCUCUCUUCUGUUCUGUUUCUGUAAAAUCUGUAACAAUGGUAUCAGAGCAAAUGGCCCUCAGCCAUAGGUUUUGCUACUACUAAUUCUUCCCUCUCCGCUUCCUCUUUCCUUGAACCUAAGGUUCUUCUAAAUUAUCCUCUGUUCUUUCUGAUCUUUCCGUUCCUUUCUCUUAUGUUCUCCUUCUUGCCUAUUCUUCUUUCUCGGUCAUUCUCAUUCUCCUCUCUUAAUCUGUUUUUCUUUCCGUCCUUUCUUGGUUACCAAACGG